UACGGGAGGCAGCAGUGAGGAAUAUUGGUCAAUGGGCGAGAGCCUGAACCAGCCAAGUAGCGUGCAGGAAGACGGCCCUAUGGGUUGUAAACUGCUUUUAUACGGGGAUAAAGUGAGGGACGUGUCCCUUAUUGUAGGUACCGUAUGAAUAAGGACCGGCUAAUUCCGUGCCAGCAGCCGCGGUAAU
rnacentral:rRNA from 1 species